rnacentral:rRNA from 1 species
GAUGAACGCUAGCUACAGGCUUAACACAUGCAAGUCGAGGGGCAGCACAAGGCAGCAAUGCUGAGGUGGCGACCGGCGCACGGGUGCGUAACGCGUAUCCAACCUUCCCGUUACUCUUGGAUAGCCUUCCGAAAGGGAGAUUAAUACAAGAUGGUGUUGAAAUUCCGCAUGUUAUUUCAACUAAAGAUUUAUCGGUAACGGAUGGGGAUGCGUGACAUUAGAUAGUAGGCGGGGUAACGGCCCACCUAGUCUACGAUGUCUAGGGGUUCUGAGAGGAAGGUCCCCCACACUGGAACUGAGACACGGUCCAGACUCCUACGGGAGGCAGCAGUGAGGAAUAGUGGUCAAUGGCCGGAAGGCUGAACCAGCCAAGUAGCGUGAAGGAUGAAGGUUCUAUGGAUUGUAAACUUCUUUUAUACGGGAAUAAAACCUCCCACGUGUGGGAGCUUGUAUGUACCGUAUGAAUAAGCAUCGGCUAACUCCGUGCCAGCCGCCGCCGUAAUAC